UAUUGUUAGCGUGCCUCAGCUCGUCCACUACGCAGCGAUAUCAAUGAUGGGAGUAAUGUCGUCGACGCAGCACCGGCAACUUGGAGAGCGUCGUACCAUUGAAAAGUGGUGAGACCGUGACCCUAUAGCAGUGUCAACAUAAUGGCAGGGAAAUGCAGGGAUCCCGCAGCCAUGGCUACAGCAGCACAGGGUGUAAUCUGGAUGUCAUGUCAGCACCCGGAUGCGUCACAUCAUAUGCCUACGGUGAAAUACGAGGGAACUAGCCUGCUGCAAGCAAGAGCCCUCCAUGUACAGC